rnacentral:rRNA from 1 species
UACGUAGGCAGCAAGCGUUGUUCGGAAUUACUGGGCGUAAAGAGGGUGUAGGCGGUGCUCUAAGUCUGUCGUGAAAUCUCCCGGCUUAACUGGGAGGGUGCGGCGGAUACUAUUGUGCUAGAGGGUGGGAGAGGUAAGCGGAAUUCCUGGUGUAGCGGUGAAAUGCGUAGAUAUCAGGAGGAACACCUGCGGUGUAGACAGCUUACUGGACCACUUCUGACGCUGAGACACGAAAGCGUGGGUAGCAAACAGG